rnacentral:rRNA from 1 species
UACGUAGGGUGCGAGCGUUAAUCGGAAUUACUGGGCGUAAAGCGUGCGCAGGCGGUUUUGUAAGCCAGAUGUGAAAUCCCCGGGCUCAACCUGGGAAUGGCAUUUGGGACUGCAAGGCUGGAGUACGGCAGAGGAGACUGGAAUUCCUGGUGUAGCAGUGAAAUGCGUAGAGAUCAGGAGGAAUACCGAUGGCGAAGGCAGGUCUCUGGGCUGAUACUGACGCUGAGGAGCGAAAGCGUGGGGAGCGAACAGG